rnacentral:rRNA from 1 species
GAGUUCCCUUCGGGGACAUUGGUGACAGGUGGUGCAUGGUUGUCGUCAGCUCGUGUCGUGAGAUGUUGGGUUAAGUCCCGCAACGAGCGCAACCCUUGUCUUUAGUUGCCAUCAUUAAGUUGGGCACUCUAGAGAGACUGCCAGGGAUAACCUGGAGGAAGGUGGGGAUGACGUCAAAUCAUCAUGCCCCUUAUGCUUAGGGCUACACACGUGCUACAAUGGGUAGUACAGAGGGUUGCCAAGCCGUAAGGUGGAGCUAAUCCCUUAAAGCUACUCUCAGUUCGGAUUGUAGGCUGAAACUCGCCUACAUGAAGCUGGAGUUACUAGUAAUCGCAGAUCAGAAUGCUGCGGUGAAUGCGUUCCCGGGUCUUGUACACACCGCCCGUCACACCACGGGAGUUG